UGUAUGGCAGUUGACCCCCAAUUCAUGGGUCAACAUUCUUGGAUAAAUUGCCGCCUGCGAGAUGCAGGAGCUCAACACUACUACAAAAUGAGUGUUUUUUCGACGCUGGUGCCUCGACGCUAGGUAAGGGGUGUCAGCAAAUAGAUUUAGUAUCCGCGUUUUUUGGACGCUUUUAGGUGACAAAAGCAAUUUUCGUCGCUGAAAAGCGUCGAGAAGACAACCACAUGUGACGCACGUGAAUUGUUAGUACCUCACAACCCAGCCCACGUUUCAAUUUUAAGGGGAAAAUAAACCAAAAAAAAAAAAAAAAGACUACUCAGUUCUUAACCCUAACUAUUCCUCCCUCCUUCAUGAGAUUCAUUCAUGAAUUCUAAAUCCAGAUCUUAACUCUCCCUUCAAUUCCCCAAUUUAUGCUUGAUGAAAUUUCUCUACUCACUUUGAACUGUAAUCGAUUUUGUCACUCUCUAUGCCGCCGUUAAUUCUAAGGGUGUACUAGGGACUGUGAUUAAGAGGUGUUGAAGAAGUUUUUUCUCCACUUGAUCUCCCUGAUGCUCUUGUCUUACUGACAUAGCAGCCACGUUGGGUGUUGCAGUUGACGAUGGCAGGAAACAUUUGAGCUUUAUUACCUUUAUUUUCGUAUUGAUUUUCGUAGGACCUGCUGUGAGUGCUGACUUCGUUUGGCUCGUUCUCCUUCGUUAGAGAAGCUUUUUAGGUCUGAGCAUUUUGUCACAAUCUGAACUUUGUUUUACUCCCCCUUGCAAGAAGCUUAAGAAACCAUAAUUGUGGCUUUCGACUAAACGUGUAACGAGAAUAGCCAAGAAGAAAAAAGAAAUCAAAACUUAAGAAUUUGGCAAAUGAUCUCUUCUCUUCUGAGUGUAUGGAUGCCUUGAUACUUUUGGAUCAAAAAGAUUAUAUAUAUAUUGAGAAAUGGUAGAAGAGGGCGGACAACUAACACUGCAAUAUUUCAAGGAUGGAAGAAAGAUAUAUUUUAGCUAUUUAAAGAUUUGAAUCGGUGAUUUGGAAUUUGUUCCACUACAACUAGUCACGAAUGAAGUAUAAGUUGGAAUUAUAUUUAUUGUAAUAGAAAACUCAUUACUAUGAGAUAUUGUACAUUUAUAUGAAAUAAAAAAUAUUUGGCAUAA